rnacentral:rRNA from 1 species
CCCUUAGAUGUUCUGGGCCGCACGCGCGCUACACUGUUCGACGCAGCGAGUCUUAACCUUGACCGAAAGGUUUGGGUAAUCUUCAGCAAAGUCGAACGUGAUGGGGAUCGAUCAUUGCAAUUAUUGAUCGUGAACGAGGAAUUCCUAGUAAGUGCAAGUCAUCAGCUUGCGCUGAUUACGUCCCUGCCCUUUGUACACACCGCCCGUCGCUACUACCGAUUGAAUGGUUUAGUGAAAUCUCUGGAUUGACGCUGGCUAGGGGGCGACCCUUGGCCAGGCUGUCGAGAAACUGCUCAAACUUGAUCAUUUAGAGGAAGUAAAAGUCGUAACA